rnacentral:rRNA from 1 species
GCGGCCUAUCAGCUUGUUGGUGAGGUAAUGGCUCACCAAGGCAACGACGGGUAGCCGGCCUGAGAGGGCGACCGGCCACACUGGGACUGAGACACGGCCCAGACUCCUACGGGAGGCAGCAGUGGGGAAUAUUGGGCAAUGGAGGAAACUCUGACCCAGCGACGCCGCGUGCGGGAUGAAGGCCUUCGGGUUGUAAACCGCUCUCAGUAGGGAAGAAGCGAAAGUGACGGUACCUACAAAAGAAGCACCGGCUAACUAUGUGCCAGCAGCCGCGGUAAUACAUAGGGUGCAAGCGUUGUCCGGAAUUAUUGGGCGUAAAGAGCUCGUAGGUCGUUUGUUACGUCGGAUGUGAAAACCUGAGGCUCAACCCCAGACCUGCAUUCGAUACGGGCAAACUAGAGUUUGGUAGGGGAGACUGGAAUUCCU